CAGUAGCCGCGGUAAUACGUAGGGGGCAAGCGUUAUCCGGAUUUACUGGGUGUAAAGGGAGCGCAGACGGCUCUGCAAGUCUGAAGUGAAAGCCCGCGGCUUAACCGCGGGACUGCUCUGGAAACUGCAAGGCUUGAGUAUCGGAGGGGCAGGCGGAAUUCCUAGUGUGGCGGUGAAAUGCGUAGAUAUUAGGAAGAACACCGGUAGCGAAGGCGGCCUGCUGGACGAAAACUGACGUUGAGGCUCGAAGACGUGGGGAGCAAACAGGAUUAGAGACCCCUGUAGUCCCUGUCUCUUAUAC
rnacentral:rRNA from 1 species